rnacentral:rRNA from 1 species
UACAUGGGGUGCAAACGUUGCUCGGAAUUAUUGGGCGUAAAGCGCGCGUAGGCGGUUACUUAAGUCGGAUGUGAAAGCCCUCGGCUUAACUGAGGAAGUGCACCCGAAACUGAGUAGCUAGAGUACUAAAGAGGGUCGCGGAAUUCCCGGUGUAGAGGUGAAAUUCGUAGAUAUUCGCAAGAACACCAGUGGCGAAGGCGGCUCACUGGCCCGGUACUGACGCUGAGGCACGAAAGCGUGGGGAGCAAACAGG